GCUCAGCCCUAAACCUUAGUAGUUUUAACAACAAUACUACUCGCCAGAGUACUACUAGCAACAGCCUAAAACUCAAAGGACUUGGCGGUGCUUUAUAUCCCUCUAGAGGAGCCUGUUCUGUAAUCGAUAAACCCCGAUAAACCUCACCAGUCCUUGCUAAUACAGCCUAUAUACCGCCAUCUUCAGCAAACCCUAAAAAGGAGCCACAGUAAGCCAAACUAUAUAACAUAAAAACGUUAGGUCAAGGUGUAGCCAAUGGGCCGGGAAGAAAUGGGCUACAUUUUCUAAUAUAGAACAUAACGAAACUUUUCGUGAAACCGAAAACGGAAGGAGGAUUUAGUAGUAAAUUAAGAAUAGAGAGCUUAAUUGAAUAAGGCCAUGAAGCAC
rnacentral:rRNA from 1 species